rnacentral:tRNA from 1 species
GGUGGAGUGGCCGAGCGGUCAAUGGCAGCAGACUGUAAAUCUGCCCUCUUAUGAGUUCGUAGGUUCAAAUCCUACCUCCACCACCA